CCCCGGAUGCACUUCUCCAUCCGGAUUCUUAGAGCGGACUCCGAGCUCCACGGUCCCCUCCGCGGUUAGCACAUGCGCGACGGCGCCGCUCCCUCUUCCUCCACCUCCGCCAGCCUCCGCCGCCCGGGAAGCCGCCGCCGCCGCCGCCGAGGAGUCAGGAAGUUCAAGAUGGCCGCCGCGGAGACCCUGUCGCUGCGGGAACAGCCAGAGAUGGAAGAUGCUGAUAAUUCCGAAAAGAGUGUAAAUGAAGAAAAUGGAGAAGUAUCAGAAGACCAGUCUCAAAAUAAGCACAGUCGUCACAAAAAAAAGAAGCAUAAACACAGAAGUAAACAUAAGAAACAUAAACAUUCCUCAGAAGAAGACAAGGAUAAAAAACAUAAACAUAAGCAUAAACAUAAGAAACACAAAAGAAAAGAAGUUAUUGAUGCUUCUGACAAAGAAGGUAUGUCUCCAGCUAAAAGAACUAAACUUGAUGAUUUAGCUUUGCUGGAAGACUUGGAAAAACAGAGAGCCUUGAUUAAAGCUGAACUUGAUAAUGAGUUAAUGGAAGGAAAGGUCCAGUCUGGGAUGGGGCUCAUAUUGCAAGGUUAUGAGUCUGGCUCUGAAGAAGAGGGGGAGAUUCAUGAAAAAGCAAGAAAUGGAAAUAGGUCUAGUACCAGAUCUUCAAGUACAAAGGGGGGUAAACUUGAACUUAUGGACAAUAAAAAUAGUACAAAAAAGCGAAGUAAAAGCAGAUCCAAAGAACGGACUAGACAUAGGUCUGAUAAAAAGAAAAGUAAGGGUGGUGUUGAAAUAGUUAAAGAGAAGACAACUAGGAGCAAGUCAAAGGAGAGGAAAAAGUCUAAAAGUCCAUCCAAAAGAAGUAAGUCUCAAGAUCAAGCAAGAAAAUCAAAAUCUCCUACCCUUAGAAGGCGAUCUCAAGAGAAAAUUGGGAAGGCCAGGUCUCCUCCUGAUGACAAAGUUAAAAUUGAAGAUAAAAGUAGAUCAAAAGAUAGAAAAAAAUCCCCAAUUAUAAAUGAAAGCAGAAGUCGUGAUCGAGGCAAAAAAUCCAGAUCCCCAGUUGACUUAAGAGGUAAAUCCAAAGACAGAAGAUCACGAUCCAAAGAGAGAAAAUCAAAACGAUCUGACACAGAUAAAGAAAAGAAGCCAAUUAAAUCUCCCUCUAAAGACGCUUCUUCUGGGAAAGAAAAUCGGUCACCCAGUAGAAGACCUGGUCGAAGUCCUAAAAGAAGAAGUUUGUCUCCAAAACAACGGGAUAAAUCAAGAAGAAGUAGAUCUCCACUUGUAAAUGAUAGAAGGUCUAAGCAGAGCAAAUCACCUUCCCGAACUCUGUCUCCUGGGAGAAGAGCCAAGAGCCGAUCCUUGGAAAGAAAACGAAGAGAACCAGAAAGGAGACGACUUUCUUCUCCAAGAACACGACCUCGAGAUGAUCUCCUCAGUAGACGUGAAAGAUCAAAAGAUGCAAGCCCACUCAAUAGGUGGUCUCCGACCCGAAGAAGGACAAGUAGAUCUCCUAUUAGAAGACGGUCUCGUUCCCCACUCAGACGUAGUAGGUCACCGAGGAGAAGAAGCAGGUCUCCACGGAGGAGGGACAGAGGUCGGAGGAGCCGGUCACGCUUGAGAAGGCGGUCUCGAUCACGGGGUGGUCGUAGACGUAGGAGCAGAAGCAAAGUAAAGGAAGAUAAAUUUAAAGGAAGUCUAUCAGAAGGAAUGAAAGUUGAACAAGAAUCUUCAUCUGAUGAUAACCUUGAAGACUUUGAUGUAGAGGAAGAAGAUGAAGAAGCUCUAAUAGAACAGAGAAGAAUACAGAGGCAGGCAAUUGUUCAGAAAUAUAAAUAUCUUGCUGAAGAUAGCAAUAUGUCUGUGCCAUCUGAACCAAGCAGUCCCCAGAGCAGUACCUGUACACGGUCACCCUCUCCAGAUGACAUUCUGGAAAGGGUAGCUGCUGAUGUUAAAGAGUAUGAACGAGAAAAUGUUGAUACAUUUGAGGCCUCAGUAAAAGCCAAGCAUAAUCUAAUGACCGUUGAACAGAAUAAUGGUUCAUCUCAAAAGAAGCUCUUGGCACCUGAUAUGUUUACAGAAUCUGAUGAUAUGUUUGCUGCCUAUUUUGAUAGUGCUCGUCUUCGGGCUGCUGGCAUUGGAAAAGAUUUCAAAGAGAAUCCCAACCUCAGGGAUAACUGGACAGAUGCAGAAGGCUAUUACCGUGUGAACAUAGGUGAAGUCCUAGAUAAGCGUUACAAUGUGUAUGGCUACACUGGCCAGGGUGUCUUCAGUAAUGUUGUACGAGCCAGAGAUAAUGCAAGAGCCAACCAAGAAGUGGCUGUAAAAAUCAUCAGAAACAAUGAGCUCAUGCAAAAAACUGGCUUAAAAGAACUAGAAUUCCUGAAAAAACUUAAUGAUGCUGAUCCUGAUGACAAAUUUCAUUGUUUGCGACUCUUCAGACACUUUUAUCACAAACAGCAUCUCUGUCUCGUAUUUGAGCCUCUAAGUAUGAAUUUACGAGAGGUGUUAAAAAAAUACGGUAAGGAUGUUGGUCUUCAUAUUAAAGCUGUAAGAUCCUACAGUCAGCAGUUGUUCUUGGCAUUAAAGCUCCUUAAAAGAUGCAAUAUCCUACAUGCAGAUAUCAAGCCAGACAAUAUCCUGGUUAAUGAAUCAAAAACUAUUUUAAAGCUCUGCGAUUUUGGGUCGGCUUCACAUGUUGCGGAUAAUGACAUAACACCUUAUCUUGUCAGUAGAUUUUAUCGUGCUCCUGAAAUCAUUAUAGGUAAAAGCUAUGACUAUGGUAUAGAUAUGUGGUCUGUAGGUUGUACCUUAUAUGAGCUCUACACUGGAAAAAUUUUAUUUCCUGGCAAAACCAAUAACCAUAUGUUGAAGCUCGCCAUGGACCUCAAAGGAAAGAUGCCAAAUAAGAUGAUUCGGAAAGGCGUAUUCAAAGACCAACAUUUUGAUCAAAAUCUCAACUUCAUGUAUAUAGAAGUUGAUAAAGUAACAGAGAGGGAGAAAGUUACUGUCAUGAGCACCAUUAAUCCAACCAAGGACCUAUUGGCUGACUUGAUUGGGUGCCAGCGACUUCCUGAAGACCAGCGUAAAAAAGUACACCAGCUAAAGGACUUGUUGGACCAGAUCCUAAUGUUGGACCCAGCUAAACGAAUUAGCAUCAACCAGGCCCUACAGCAUGCCUUCAUCCAGGAAAAAAUUUAAACGAGAUGAAGAAGCUCCAAGGGUUUGAGUAAUUAAAUACAAAGACUGAAGAAAUUUCACAGCAGUUUAUUAAUGUAUAUAAACUUAUAAAUAUUUCUCCAGCAAAUUUGAGGAAGCAUGAUAUAUUUGAAUUAACACCAAGGGUGAUAUUUCUUUUAGAAAUGUUAGUUAAUCUGUUUUGUGUCUUAUGUGAAAUUUCACUGUAGAACUGUUUUAAUUGCCAAGACUGCACAAAAUUACAGUGCUAAUGUAUAUGGUUGCAGUUCACAUAAAAGACAAAAAGCAUCUGUUAUAAAAUGAGUAGUAAUACUGGGUGGUUGAUUUAUUUUUAGCAAACUUGGCUUCAUAUUGGUCUUCAGAUAAAAUGGCCAGCAUAAAUGCUGUUUAUAUUCACGUUUUCCUAGGUGUGUGUGUGCAGGCCACAGCAGCAUGCCCUUGGUGUAGUCAGUGCCGAAAGGGGUCUGUUCCUUCUUGAGCCUGCCUGCAGGGAUGGUCUCCUCUUUUAAAGCAGGUUGUGUACAACAUUCAGUACACUGAAGGUAAGCUAAACCAUCAACAUCACUGGUGUUUUAAGAUGUUAUUUUAUUGGAACAGUUGACAAAUGAGGGAUAUUAGCUUUGUGGCGGAAUUCCCUGCAUGUGUGAUAACUGAUCUUUUUUAUUUUUUGGCAUUGCAACUGUGGCAUAGUUACAGUUUCUGUUCUGUUCAUCACAUUUAAAAUUGGAAGAGUAUGCGCUUGAUGGAUAGAGCGCCUUCAGUGUACUGUUUCUUAUUAACUUUAAUUUUUUAAAUCAACUUGCUAUAGACUUUAUAUACAUUUUGUUAAAUACAGUUCGUAGUGACGUAGAAACAAGGCAUAGUUUUCCUUUACUAAUUACACAUGUUGAGGCCUAAUUCUGAAAGUCCUCAUAUUUAAAAGUUAGACAACAUAAUGAAAUUUUUAACUAUUUGUAUGUCAUUUUGAAAGUGUACUGCUUUAUGGUAAAAGUGUUUUUCAUUUGUUCAUUGUUUUCAUUAUUUGUGAUCAUGUUGUCUUUCAAUACAGGCAUAAACCUUCCACUCUUGAACAAAGCAGCUGCUUUUUAAAAGCGAGAAAAGGAAAACGGGGCACAGGCCACUCACCGCCUUCUCCAAGGGGUCUGAUUUGCUGAGACACCAGCUUCACCUUCUUAACAAGGCACCUAAUUACAACAAGCAUGCACAUUUUGGUGCAUUCAAGAAUGGAAAAUCAGAAUAGCAGCAUUCUUCUGGUGGGUUUUGCUCCAUUUAAAGACAUGAAAUGAACUACAGCCAGGAAGGUGAUAGAUGAUAUAAUAAGCCAACUUUGAAUCUACACCCCGUCUCUUCAUGGUUUAGACUUACUAAAAUAAAUUAAAGGUGGUUUCCAUCUUCAGGUAGAGUGAUGCCUUUUAAAUAAGGCAUCACAGGUGCAGCUUGUCUACCUUAACAAAAUAAAAUGGGUAGUGAUUUUCCCACCAUGACUUACUUUAUUUUGGUGAUAAUAUGCUGCAUAUUCGAGUCUUUUGUAGUUAUUUGCACUCAAAAUAGUUAACAUUUUGAUGCUUCUGGUGAUUUUCAUGGCUUCGUUUUAUGUAAUUAUUUAAUAAGUUAACUUCCACUAGAAACAGUUCAUCUUAUGCCUUCAAAACUAUUAACCUAUUCUUUAAAAAACAAAGUUGCUUGUUACUUGUUCUUUGUGUUUUAGGUGCAGUUCAGUGGAAGAUGAUGACAGCCAGAAGACAUGAGCUAAGGUUUCUGUCCUAUAAAAGAUUUAAAAUUAAAAAAAAAAAAAAAAGAGAAAGAAAAAAAAAGAAUCCUCCAUUUAAUUUUUGUCUAAUUUUUUUAGUUUUCAGCAUUAUGAUUUGGGUUUUGUUAAUGUUUGGCACUUAGAGUAGUAGUGCUGUUGUGGUGUUCAUCUGUAAAGUGCUUGUUUUAUCAUGCUUCCUUCCUCUCCCUGCUCCCCACUCUCUCCUCUCCAUACCCACCCACCCCCCCCGCCCCCCCCCCCAAAUAAACACUGUGGUCAGAUUUAGUGAUACUAUGAAAGACUCUUGAAUGGUGAGAUUCCACAGAACACAUGGCCAUCAAAAUUGGUUCCUAGGGGUUGUGAGAAAAACCACCAAGAUCACAUACAUCAAAAAGUAGUCUUUAGGUAUCUUACCUCCUUUGCAGAUGCAAAAGAAUAGAAAGUGGAAUUUUAAGAACAGUGUUACCCAACUCCUUUAAUACUCUAUUCCCCAACUUUCCCUUUUAAUAACUUUUUUACAAGUGGUCCAGUCAUGGUCUUAAGAUAGACAAAAUAUUUAGAACCACUGUCAGUUUUUCUUUAUAAGUGAGAGUAGAUCUUUGUUCCCAAAUUUAGCAUUCCUAGAUUUGUCUACUUGAAGGGAACCCUGUAAACAUUCUUUACAUACAUAUACGUGAUUUUAUUAGAAUUAGUAAUUUUCUGAGGCAGAAAUUUGGAACUUCGUAAGACCUCUGUUAGAUGAUGGUUCUAAUUUAGUGAAUUAUCUUUAUCCUGCAUUCGUAUUUCAGAGUAGCUGUAUAGUUUUCAAACAAGUUAAUCUCAGAUAAAGCAUUUGUUUAAUACACAUCUGAGCAAAAAUACCAUGUGAUUGUCAGACGUCGGGGUUCCUAAAUCUUAGGACAUAAUCCUCAAAAACGUCAUAGUUCUUUCUGUAGCUGGGGGGUGAGAUCCGGAAAGCAGAUACACUGUAGACCCCAUUCUCUAGAUGGACCUUAUACUUGAAGGUAUCAGAAAUCAGGUUGAAUGAGGUAUCAAAGAUUUGAAGGAAGGGGGAAGCAUCUUGUCAUAAAUUUUAAAGACCUUCCCAGUAUUUAUAUUCACCCUUAAGUCCUUAUUAAUAGCAUCCUGUUUAUUCCCCAAUGUAUAACUCAUUCCAUUCUACUACUUUCAAAAUAAUUGUUUUUUAAGGUAUUGUAAUUUAUUUGCCAUUAUAAUAAUUACCUUUUUUCUCCAAAACAAAUACUCAGGACAUUUCUACAAUACAAAAAAUGUGUAUGUUUCAUGGUAUGUGAUAGAGGCAAAGAAAUGUAAUGUUCUCAGAUCUGUUUCAUAUUUGCAUUCCUUCUGUGUUCUUUAUCAUUUCGUAACGCUAGCUGGCUAGGUAGAAAUAGAAUCUCUGAAAUGAAACCGGAAUCACAGAAGUAGUUAAAGAAUGCCCUUUUAAAUGUUGGAGAUAGGAAAAAAGUAGAAACUCGAAUAAUUUCCUUUCAUUAGUUAUGAUGACCUGAUUAGAAACUGGGCUUCAUAAAGUGUUUCUUGUAGUAGUAUCCUAGUUCAAGUUUGUAUUCAACAUGAGUUUUAUCAUCCUUUUAGAUGGCAUUUCUUCCUUAUGGAAAUGUUCGGUACAAAUUUGUUUGUGUUUUUUUUACAUGUCAAUAAUGUAUGCUAAAUUGACUUUUAAAAUGUUUUCCAGUUUGAUAGAUAUCAUCAUGGCAUCUUUAAUUUUUUUUUCUCCUUCUGUAUGUAGGGUAAGGGACUGUUCUGAAGAAUCUUUCCAUUUAGUGAUCAAGAUAUGGAAGCUGGUCUCUGAAAAUACUCAAUGUGUAUCCCAGUUAAUCAUGGUAUCAUUUGAAUUGUAACUUAAAUUUUAGCAGCAAUGUUUUCCAAUUAUUGGGAAAACUAAUAAAAUAUGUCUCUUGUUACCA